rnacentral:rRNA from 1 species
GUGGGGAAUAUUGCACAAUGGGCGAAAGCCUGAUGCAGCAACGCCGCGUGAGCGAUGAAGGCCUUCGGGUCGUAAAGCUCUGUCCUCAAGGAAGAUAAUGACGGUACUUGAGGAGGAAGCCCCGGCUAACUACGUGCCAGCAGCCGCGGUAAUACGUAGGGGGCUAGCGUUAUCCGGAAUUACUGGGCGUAAAGGGUGCGUAGGUGGUUUCUUAAGUCAGAGGUGAAAGGCUACGGCUCAACCGUAGUAAGCCUUUGAAACUGAGAAACUUGAGUGCAGGAGAGGAGAGUAGAAUUCCUAGUGUAGCGGUGAAAUGCGUAGAUAUUAGGAGGAAUACCAGUUGCGAAGGCGGCUCUCUGGACUGUAACUGACACUGAGGCACGAAAGCGUGGGGAGCAAACAGGAUUAGAAACCCUGGUAGUCC